rnacentral:misc_RNA from 1 species
AAGUCGUAACAAGGUCUCCGUUGGUGAACCAGCGGAGGGAUCAUUACAGAGUUGAAAAACUCCCUAAACCCUUUGUUUAUAUACCUGUUCAGUUGCUUCGGCAGGCGGCCCCAGGGCGGGGCCUCCGGCCUGCUCACGCAGGUGCCUGCCGCUGGCGCAAAACUCUUUGUUUUAUAUUACUACUCUGAGUCUCAAACAAAAUGAAUCAAAACUUUCAACAACGGAUCUCUUGGUUCUG